UACGUAGGGGGCAAGCGUUGUCCGGAUUAUUGGGCGUAAAGAGCGUGUAGGCGGCCAGAUAGGUCUGCUGUGAAAACUCGAGGCUCAACCUCGAGAUGUCGGCGGAAACCAUUUGGCUAGAGUCCGGAAGAGGAAAGUGGAAUUCCUGGUGUAGCGGUGAAAUGCGCAGAUAUCAGGAAGAACACCCGUGGCGAAGGCGGCUUCCUGGGACCGGUA
rnacentral:rRNA from 1 species